GACGAACGCUGGCGGCGUGCUUAACACAUGCAAGUCGCAGAUAGUGUCGACCGGGUGCGUACUACGUGGGUAACCUGCCCUCCUUUUUGGGAUAAGCCUUGGAAACGGGGUCUACUACCGAAUAAUGUGGUAUGGUCUCGCGGGCUAUCAGCUUGUUGGUGGGGUGUGGGCCUACCACGGCUGUGACGGGUAGCCGGGCUGAGCGGGUGACGGGGCGUAUUGGGACUGAGAGAGGGCCCAGACUCCUACGGGAGGCAGCAGUGGGGGAUAUUGCACAAUGGGCGAAAGCAGGAUGGGGAGACGGCGCGUGGGGGAUGAAGGCUUUCGGGUUGUAAACCUCUUUCGCUAUCGAACGGGUAGGUGGAGAAGAAGCGCCGGCUAACUACGUGCCAGCAGCCGCGGUAAUUC
rnacentral:rRNA from 1 species